UCCCGUGUAGCUCAAUUGGCAGAGCAGCCGGCUGUUAACCGGCAGGUUAUAGGUUCGAGUCCUAUCGCGGGAGCCA
rnacentral:tRNA from 1 species